UUGGGCAAGGGUAGCCCAGGGCAACUAGGGCAGGACUCGUGGGUACCUCCUUGGCUUUUGGAGGAGGAAAUCGAGAACCUUCAACACUACAUCACGAAGGUUCAAGAGUUACCGGAGGAUAAAUUGUCGGAGUCAUGAAUGGAGUGAGAAUCAUCAGCAGUGAUCACUCGAAGCCUCGGGCGGGGGAUGCCGAUUGAAUGGAUUGCCCAAGAAAUCAACAAAAAAGGCAACAUCUAGGAGGAAAUUGAAACUUUUCCGUUGGCUACAAUCAUCAUAUCAUCCAAUUCAAGUUGGACAC
rnacentral:lncRNA from 1 species